rnacentral:rRNA from 1 species
AUACGUAGGGAGCGAGCGUUGUCCGGAAUUACUGGGUGUAAAGGGAGCGUAGGCGGGAUUGCAAGUCAGAUGUGAAAUGCAGGGGCUCAACCCCUGAGCUGCAUUUGAAACUGUAGUUCUUGAGGGAAGUAGAGGAAAGCGGAAUUCCUGGUGUAGCGGUGAAAUGCGUAGAUAUCAGGAGGAACACCGGUGGCGAAGGCGGCUUACUGGGCUUUUACUGACGCUGAGGCUCGAAAGCGUGGGGAGCAAACAGGAUUAGAUACCCUGGUAGUCCACGCUGUAAACGAUGAUUACUAGGUGUGGGGGGACUGACCCCUUCCGUGCCGCAGUUAACACAAUAAGUAAUCCACCUGGGGAGUACGGCCGCAAGGUUGAAACUUAAAUGAAUUGGCGGGG